rnacentral:snoRNA from 1 species
AGGUUUCAUCUGUGUCUGGUAGCAGUGUCUGUCUGUGUUUUUCAUUCAGAUCUUGCUAUCCACACAAACAUCAUGCGGCCAAAGAGUAACUUGGGAUCAUAGUACUGGUCUAGUGUUGUCUCUGGACACAUCUACCACUGGCCAGCCUCCAAAUUCCCACACACAGAACUCAGGGAAUAGAGAUUAGCUUGGGGGAAUUUA